CUGGCUGCAUCAAUUAGUGGGUCGGUGAUUUGAUAAUAAAAACAAUUGGUAUGAUCGCUUCCCAACGCCUAUAAAUAGAGAUUUUCUGGUAGCAGAGGGAAUGGGGAGUUCAGCAUGCGAACAAUUGAGAGAAUUAUAAGAGCAUGGAGAUUGAAGGUUUGCAGAGGCCACAGAGGCAGCUGAAGAUUUCAGCCAGCUGAAGAUUUCAGGAACUAGAAGAAGACCGGAGGAGUGUGAACCCUAAGCCACCACGACACUCCUGGAAAAGUUCUCCUUAGGUCUGUCGGAGCAGAUCAUUGGUGGGGCUUGUUAGAAAUUCAUGCCAAUUUCAGGGGUGUUGAGCGGGGAACCCUGCAGGUAUAAAGCCAGGAUAUAGUACGGACUUUUCAGAGAUUAGGAGAUCUAGUUAGGCGAACAGAUCAGGCUCGCGGAUAGAGAUUGUCUUCCACUGCCCAUACAGGAACGGGUCCUUCGAGCAGCCGACACUAGCGUUCUAGCGUUUCAGGAGCAUGGUUGUUGGUAGCAUUGUCUAAGUACUUGUGUAAGUACUAAUCUUUGGUCGGGUUGUCAUUUUUGGGUUAUGUGGACACCCAGGGGUAUGUUUUGUAUUAUGGGACUUAGGUUCCAGUAUUGUUUAGACUUUGGUAUGGUAUGGAAUGAAUGUAGUAGGUUGAAUUA